GAAUGAAGAAAUAUUUGGUCCAAUUCUCCCAAUCAUCACAUUACGUGACAUCCAAGAAAGCAUAGGGUUCAUCAAGUCAAAACCAAAGCCACUUGCCAUCUAUGCAUUCACCAAGGACGACAAACUUAAAACUAGAAUCUUGUCAGAAACAUCCUCUGGAAGUGUUACCUUCAACGACGUCAUGAUCCAGUAUAUGUGUG